AAUUGAAGAGUUUGAUCAUGGCUCAGAUUGAACGCUGGCGGCAGGCCUAACACAUGCAAGUCGAACGGUAACAGGAAGCAGCUUGCUGCUUUGCUGACGAGUGGCGGACGGGUGAGUAAUGUCUGGGAAACUGCCUGAUGGAGGGGGAUAACUACUGGAAACGGUAGCUAAUACCGCAUAACGUCGCAAGACCAAAGAGGGGGACCUUCGGGCCUCUUGCCAUCGGAUGUGCCCAGAUGGGAUUAGCUAGUAGGUGGGGUAACGGCUCACCUAGGCGACGAUCCCUAGCUGGUCUGAGAGGAUGACCAGCCACACUGGAACUGAGACACGGUCCAGACUCCUACGGGAGGCAGCAGUGGGGAAUAUUGCACAAUGGGCGCAAGCCUGAUGCAGCCAUGCCGCGUGUAUGAAGAAGGCCUUCGGGUUGUAAAGUACUUUCAGCGGGGAGGAAGGGAGUAAAGUUAAUACCUUUGCUCAUUGACGUUACCCGCAGAAGAAGCACCGGCUAACUCCGUGCCAGCAGCCGCGGUAAUACGGAGGGUGCAAGCGUUAAUCGGAAUUACUGGGCGUAAAGCGCACGCAGGCGGUUUGUUAAGUCAGAUGUGAAAUCCCCGGGCUCAACCUGGGAACUGCAUCUGAUACUGGCAAGCUUGAGUCUCGUAGAGGGGGGUAGAAUUCCAGGUGUAGCGGUGAAAUGCGUAGAGAUCUGGAGGAAUACCGGUGGCGAAGGCGGCCCCCUGGACGAAGA
rnacentral:rRNA from 1 species